rfam:Equus caballus chromosome 5, whole genome shotgun sequence.
CUAAAGGCUCUUUUUAGAGCCACCCAUGUUUGCAUGAAAAGCAGCU